AUUGAACGCUGGCGGCAGGCCUAACACAUGCAAGUCGAGCGAGCGGCGGACGGGUGAGUAAUGUAUGGGGAUCUGCCUGAUGGAGGGGGAUAACUACUGGCAACGGUAGCUAAUACCGCAUACCAUCAGAUGUGCCAAGCUGGGAUUAGCUAGUAGGUGGGGUAAUGGCUCACCUAGGCGACGAUCCCUAGCUGGUCUGAGAGGAUGACCAGCCACACUGGAACUGAGACACGUUCCAGAAUCCUACGGGAGGCAGCAGUGGGGAAUAUUGCACAAUGGGCGCAAGCCUGACGCAGCCAUGCCGCGUGUAUGAAGAAGGCCUUCGGGUUGUAAAGUGCUUUCGGUAGCGAUGCGUUAACUACAGAAGAAGCACCGGCUAACUCAGUGCCAGCAGCCGCGGUAAUAC
rnacentral:rRNA from 1 species